rnacentral:sRNA from 1 species
AUAGGCUGAAAAGGGGGCUUCGAACCUACGUUAUAUGUCGUCAUCGGAACUGGCCAACUGAGACCGAGGAUAGUCUGUGCGUCCAAAGCGCCUUCGAAGCCUUUGUUGGCUCGAUUUUGCUCUGGCGUAUUGGGGGUUUGCUGGUCAUCCCCUCCAGCUAUAAUCUCCGUAGUAAAUUGGUACGCCGCAUUAGCUUCAGCAGCGGAUGGGUUAUAACGGCUCAGGAAUAGGUCAAUGUCAGACCUGUUGUUGACUUCCCCCAGGAAGUUCACCAAUGAGAUACUAUUUUUGGUGGAUGCCUUUUGCUGAUAACCCCAUGUUCCAUAAAUGACACUCAGACACACGAUUGAAAUCGCCAGACGAUUGCAUGCUUCUUUGACUGUGGGGGCCUGGGAUAGCUCAUGGGCUAGAGGGAUAUCGAGAUGACCUCGUUCUAACACAUCCUCUUCUACCAGUUCCUCAUAAGUUGGGAUCCGAUGCUCGUUUUCCCAAUCUGGUGGGGGUGGACCUCCAUAUCUAGAUUGUCCAUGUGGCUUGAAAAACGAAUUGGUGGGCUCGACGACAUCAAUGUGAUUGACUAGAUCGGCAGGCACGGACCAUGACAAAGACCGUAUGAUGGUUGAUCCAUCCUCAUGUUGAUACUCUGCAUACUUUGCCAUAAACAGUCGUUCAACCACCUCAAUUGGCGCAUUAAAUGAUACCAAGUCUCCCGAAGUGGAAAAGGUCAAAUUUGGUGGAAAGGAACUAACUUCUUGAAGCCACGCGGUUACCGCGUUUAAGGAUUCCGGAGCAGCUUUAACCAACUGGCUCACUUCAUUUGAAGAGAGGUGCUUCCCAUAUCGUGGGUGAGAUGGAUCAGAGACUGCAUUUAUAUUAAUUAACAUAUACCAGGAUAGACAACAGACAACAACACAAUACAUACUCUCCAUAAGAUGUUGUUCGAAUGUCUCCCAUCCAUGUUGCUUGAGUCCAAUGCAUACCCUAAUAACUCGAUGUGUGGAUACAGAUGAUUUUCGCGACCAGCCUGCAGGCACCGUGACUGAGCUUUUCAGUACGUAUCGAGUGUCUAAAGAUAGUAAUUCCGUAGCCG